GCAGACACAUUCCAGCCAAUCAGCAGCAGACCCUCCCUCCCAGACCCUCCCACCUGGACAGCAUCCAUUUUACAUUCAUUGUGAAGCUGCAUUCUUAGUGAGCUGUCCAGGAGGUGGGAGGGUCUGGGAGGGAGGGUCUGCUGCUGAUUGGCUGGAAUGUGUCUG